UGAUGACGUAUCGCCCACAUGUUUAGAUAUGAUGUGUAGAAUUAAUUUCCAUAAACUAUUUCAGCUUAUCUUAGAAAUCAUUGGUGUAUGCGCUUGUGGAAGCGGAGUUUAUGUUAAAAACUUGACUGUUUUUGAAAUAAUGACAGUGGCUCUACAGCGAGGACACGUCAAUAUAACUAACUGAAAAAGAAAGAAAUGGAAAAAAUAGGUCGACUCACAUCCAGAAGUACUUAUUGAUCGAGUUACAAUUGAUUUUCAGUUUAUUUUUUAGAAGAAAAUAAUUCCGGCUUCAAAGGGUUAACAAGUGAUCUCAAAGUUGCUUUAAGGUUAAAAGUACUAAAAAUGGAUAAGUUCUCAAGUAAACUUUAUUCAACUAUAUGAUUCUCCUUCUCAAGUUGGAAGGGAGGUGACUUUUUAUGCAAGGCUAUUCAUUUCCUUUUUAUUUGAUAUAUAUUAUACAUGCAUACAAUAAAGGUAUAAAUUACUAUAUCACUAAUAACAUUAUACAAAUUGAAAAAACCUU